rfam:Camelus ferus unplaced genomic scaffold scaffold319, whole genome shotgun sequence.
GAGGGUAUAGCUCAAAUGGUAGAGCACAUGCUUAGCAUGCAUGAGGUCCUGGGUUCAAUCCCCAGUACCUCCU